AGUGAACGCUGGCGGCAGGCCUAACACAUGCAAGUCGAGCGGCAGCGCGUCCGACCACCCUCGGGUGGUCGGAUGGCGGCGAGCGGCGGACGGGUGAGGAAUGCAUCGGAAUCUGCCUCGUUGUGGGGGAUAACGUAGGGAAACUUACGCUAAUACCGCAUACGACCUACGGGUGAAAGUGGGGGACCUUCGGGCCUCACGCGAUGAGAUGAGCCGAUGCCGGAUUAGCUAGUUGGUAGGUAACGGCCUACCAAGGCUACGAUCCGUAGCUGGUCUGAGAGGACGGCCAGCCACACUGGGACUGAGACACGGCCCAGACUCCUACGGGGGCAGCAGUGAGGAUUUUCGGCAAUGGGCGAAAGCCUGACCGAGCGACGCCGCGUGAGCGAAGAAGGCCUUGGGUCCGUAAAGCUCUGUCUAGGGGAAGAGGAAGGACGGUAACCUCGUGGAGGAAGCCACGGCUAAACUAACGUGCCAGCAGCCGGGUAAAACCGUAGCGUG
rnacentral:rRNA from 1 species